rnacentral:pre_miRNA from 1 species
GUGGUAGUCCCUCCGUCCCAAAAUUCUUGUCUUACAUUUGUCUAGAUACGGAUGUACCUAAUACUAAAACGUGACUUGAUACAUCUGUAUUUAGACAAAUCUAAGACAGGAAUUUUGGGACGGAGGGAGUACCUC